UUAUUAUUGAGUUUGAUGAUGGCUCUGAUUGAACGCUAUCCAAGUGCUUGACACAUGCUAAUCGAACGUCACCAUUCUUUAUGUGUGGUGAAGUGGUGUAAUGGUGAGUAAAUAGUAUUUUGGCUACCUUAGAGUAAGGGUAAAUCCCUUAUAACUAAAGAAAAAAAAAUUUCGCUCUAAGAUGAUAAUUAAUAUUUCGGUAAGUAGUAGAAAAGGUAAUGUCUUAACUAGCUAUAUACCGUAGUCGUGACUGAGAGGUCGAUCGACCACAUUGGGUCUGAAAAAACCCCCAAUGCGUAAUUGUACAGCAGUGAGGAAUAUUGGUCAAUGGCCUAACGGCUGAACCAGCAACUUGGAAGAAUGUAAGUGUAUUAAUAUUUAUUAAUGCAAUAACGCUUAGAUCGUAUAAAGUUCUAAAUAGAUUAAUGAUAAUGACUAUUAUCUAUUUAUAAGUCUUGACCAAAUUGCGUGCCAGCAGUCGCGGUAAUACGUAGAAGACUAGUGUUAGUCAUCUUUAUUAGGUUUAAAGGGUACCUAGACGGUAAAUUAAACCUUAACGGGUACUUUUUUACUAGAGUUUUAUAUGAGAAGGGGAGUAUCCUUGAAGUAAUGUUAUAAUAUUUUAAUAACAAGGAGACUGGUAAAGGCGAAGGCUGCCUUCUAUUAAAAACUGACGUUGAGGGACGAAGGCUUGGGUAACGAGAAGGAUUAGAUACCCUAGUAGUCCAAGCAGACAAUUAUGAAUGUCAUAAGCUAGAUAAAUUUCAAACAAGUUGGGCAACUUGUCGGGAAGAAAUUAAAUUAUAUUUAGCUUAUAAAUGAAAGUGUAAGCAUUCCACCUCAAGAGUACAAUGGCAACAUUUAAACUGAAAUCAUUAGACCGUUUCUGAAACCAGUAGUGAAGUAUGUUAGUUAAUUCGAUAGUCCGCGAAAAACCUUACCACAAUUUGUAUAUUAUUAAAUUAUUACACGAGCUGCAUGGCUGUCUUUAGUUAAUGUCGUGAGAUCUGGUUAACUCCUUUAAUUAACGAAAACCCUCACCUUAUUUCUUUACAUAAAGUGGUUCACCGCUAUAUUGGAUAGAUAAGAGGGAUUAAGACAAGUCAUCAUGGCCAUAAUAUUGUGGGCUUUAGACGUGCCACAGAUACCAAGACAAAGGGAUGCAAUAUCGUGAGAUGGAGCUAAUCCUUAAAAUUGGAUAGUAUGGAUUGUAGUCUGUAACUCGACUACAUGAAUAAGGAAUUACUAGUAAUCGUGAAUCACCACGUCACGGUGAAUUAAAUCUCAGUUAGGCACUAACCACUCGUCAGGCGCCGAAAGAUGUAUGUGCAAUAAGUUUGGUUAAUGAAUAAGCUAAGAUAUAUAGGUAGAUAUGUAUAGGUAUUCAUUUAAUCUUCGUAUGUAUGACUUUAAUUGGUGUUAAGUCGAAAUAAGGUUCGUGUAAUGGAAAUUGCACGGGAUUGAUAAAACUU
rnacentral:rRNA from 1 species